rnacentral:rRNA from 1 species
GACGAACGCUGGCGGCGUGCUUAACACAUGCAAGUCGAACGAUGAAGCCGGAGCUUGCUCCGGUGGAUUAGUGGCGAACGGGUGAGUAACACGUGAGCAAUCUGCCCUUGACUCUGGGAUAACUGCGGGAAACUGUAGCUAAUACCGGAUACGACACCUUGGGGCAUCCCAGGGUGUGGAAAGAAUUUCGGUCAAGGAUGAGCUCGCGGCCUAUCAGCUAGUUGGUGAGGUAAUGGCUCACCAAGGCGACGACGGGUAGCCGGCCUGAGAGGGUGACGGGCCACACUGGAACUGAGACACGGGCAAGAGUCCUACGGGGGGCAGCAGUGGGGAAUAUUGCACAAUGGGCGAAGGCCUGAUGCAGCAACGCCGCGUGAGGGAUGAAGGCCUUCGGGUUGUAAACCUCUUUUAGCAGGGAAGAAGCGAAAGUGACGGUACCUGCAGAAAAAGCACCGGCUAACUACGUGCCAGCCGCCGCCGUAA